rnacentral:lncRNA from 1 species
CUGGGUGGGAGGCGAUGGUGGCUGAACGCAGAAUGGAAGCUCUGCAGGGUUUCUGUCGGAGGCUGGUGGAGAAAGCUGCUGGCAGCCAGCCCGUGUGCAAGGGGAGCAGAGAGAAGGCUCAUUCCAGGACUCAGUAGAAAGGUCACUUCCUCCAGUGCCAGCGUGUCUGUCCCAUCUCACCACUUCCUAUGGGGCUUUUAUCUUCGCUUGGACCUGUGAGUUCCCAGAGGCCAGCUUUGUGUGUCCUGCUCACUGCUGUACCGCCAAGUCCUGGGGUAGCCACUCUGCAAGGCUUCGGAACGUCCAAUCAAUGCAGUAAAUCCUGGAGAGGGGGAAGACACAGCGGUCCCCUUCCAAGGAGCUGGGACUACAGGCACCAUGAUGGAUCCUGGGAAUGAUGAUAAUGAACGCAAUAGAUACAGCCUCUAUUCUUAGACAUCUUGCAUGUAUCAGGGAAGACAGGCACCAAGGCAUACUUACAACCAAAGCAUUCCACGACCAUGUGAUCCAGGAGAAUUCCAGGGUCAAGAGCCAGGGUAUUGGAAGCCAACCUGUCUACAGGUGACCAACACUGAACUUACUUUGGGAAACACUGUUCUAGGGUAAGAGGUCUCAUGUAUUUUUGGUGGGGAGAUCUUUUCAUGACUGAAAGACUCAAAAGGCCAUUUUUAUCCUCUGCCGUUGCAUAUUCUUCUAGAAGAAUGUUUCUGCUUCUGUGAGAUGCAAAAAAGCAAUGUUCAGAUUUGUAUUACCUUUAUACGCAAAUCAUUUCACAUCAGGAACGAAUGCAGCACUUUCAAAUUGGGAGUCACAAAAGCCUGCUGAAAGGUGUUUGUGGAGUGCAGGGUGGGAAGGUCCUUGUAUUAGUUCAUUUUCACACUGCUGAUAAAGACAUACCCAAGACUGAGUGAUUCAUAAAGACAAAGAG